GUAAUACAUGAAGAUCCAACAGCCACCACGUGACCAAGAGAAAAAAGCCAAAAGAAUCACAGACCUGGCCUUCACAUUGUAGAGGUUCUUAGCCAGGGCCAAUAGUUGCCGCUCUCUGAACUUCUUAUCGUAUGAGAAAAAUAAUCAUUUACUUGUUCAAGCCACUGUUGGUUGAGUUUUCUAUUAUUGGCAGCAAAAUGCAUUCCUAUCUGAAUGCAGCCAGUAUCAUCUUAAUCUGACACUUUCAGACCCAUGUUAGAUUUGGAUUAACCUCUUUGGGUUUUGCAAAGUAGGCCUAAAUUUGACCAGUUGGAUUUGACUCAAAAUCAGGCAGCACAAGAUAGUCAAAUAUUGGUCCUGCCAAUACUGUUGUGCGAUAGUGACUGAGUGAUUUCCCAAAUGGAAAUGGAUGUGCUGUUACCAUAAGAAGAGAAGCUGGAUGUCGGGAAGACAAAAACAACAGAUGUCCACACUACAUCAUAACACAUAGCCGGCAGGAGCUGUGCUUGAUGCCGAAACAUUGACCUCCCAAUAAGCCAAGUCUCCAGGCCUGCUUCUUAAGGGUUUUUGUAUGGAGGAAAGAGAAAGAGAAGAAGACCCCCAAAAUGCUGAGGAUUUUCCAAGUGGAAACAGAAAGUUCAAAAGAGCUGAAGUGCCUCUUCUUCCUUCACUGAACAAAUCGUUAUCCACACCAGGAUGUGAAAUGGAAUCUCAGAGACUGAAGCUCUCAGACAUUGCACCUUCCUCCACGACGAAGACCUUAGCAAUCUUCCUACUUGUCUUUUGAGAAGUUUGAUUCACCGUAGGCUAUAAGGUGAGGUUAAGGCUGCUAUAAACCCCAGUGUUGAGGGGACAGUAAUGAAAUUCAGUAGAAAGAUUAAUGAAAAAUCAAAAUUUGUGAGACUCUACCCAGAGACCAAAAGAAGACAAAAACAUGUAUGACCAUGUAAUAUCCUGGGAUGCAAUAUGAAGAAUCAAAGUUGUUUAACUGGAAAUGAUUCUGCAUAACACAGGGUAUAAUUUCAUUUACAUAGGGAGUAUCUGGCACUUGGCAAAAUACAAACUCAGAAAAGUCUGACUAAUAUGUAAAGAUAUUUCCCUUCAUCUCCCUAUAGGAGAAGAAGACACAUGCUACAUAAGUGUAAUCUGUCCUGCUGUCCCCCAGCACAUCCUGCAGGGCUAGAGAAGAGCAGUACCUAUUUGCAUAACUAAGACUAUGUGAAAAGGAAAAAUGGUACAUGAGACUGGAAAGCUGUAGCCAGAUUCCCAAGGGCCUUGAGAAUCCAUUAAAGACUUUUGAACAACAGAAUGACAUGACUCAAAAUAUGUUUUAGGAAAAACCUAUCUGUAAUGAGAUGGGUUGGAAGGGAGGAGAGAAUAGAGACAGGCGAAGUAGAUUACUGUUUGCUGAAGUCAUAAUCGUGAGGAAUCACGAGCAUCUGAACUGGAAAAGUGGCCCCAGUGGAAAGAUAAGUAAAAGAGAAAGUCAAGAGAAAUUACAGUGCUCAAACCACAGCACCAAUCAGCUGACUAGCUGUGGGGAGUAAGGAAGCAAACAAAAUUAAGAAUUACUUUGAGAAAAGAACUUGCGACAGAACUACCAUUUGACCCAGCAACCCCACUACUAGAUACAUACCCGCAGGAAAAGAAUUCAUUCUAUCAAAAAGACACAUACACUUAUAUGUUCACUGCAGCACUAUUCACAACAGCAAAGACACAGAAUCAACCUAGGUACCCU
rnacentral:lncRNA from 1 species